GUACUGAGGCAUUUGACUCCUGGGAGAAGCCCCCUCUGCCUGUGUAUACUCAGUUCUAUUUCUUCAAUGUCACCAAUCCAGAGGAGAUCCUCAGAGGGGAGACCCCUCGGGUGGAAGAAGUGGGGCCAUACACCUACAGGGAACUCAGAAACAAAGCAAAUAUUCAAUUUGGAGAUAAUGGAACAACAAUAUCUGCUGUUAGCAACAAGGCCUAUGUUUUUGAACGAGACCAAUCUGUUGGAGACCCUAAAAUUGACUUAAUUAGAACAUUAAAUAUUCCUGUAUUGGUAAGUAGGCAUUUUAAUACCAUUAAGUUGGAUUUUGGAAGAAAGGAAAAAGCUAAGUUAAUGCUCUUUAUGAUUUUACAUUUAGGAGCCAUUAAGUUAUGUUGAAAUAUACAUAUAUAAAAAGAAAAAUACUUCUUUUCUUUUCUUUAAAGUACAUCUUGGACUUUUUUCUAAGAUGUAUCAAAUAAGGUCUUUUCAAAUGAUGACAAAAUUCAGAUU
rnacentral:lncRNA from 1 species